AACUAACGCUGGCGGCGUGCCUAACACAUGCAAGUCGUACGAGAAAGUUGGCUUCGGCCGAUGAGUAAAGUGGCGCACGGGUGAGUAACGCGUGGAUAAUCUACCCCCCAGUUGGGAAUAACUCAUCGAAAGGUGGGCUAAUACCGAAUAAUACUGCAUGACUUCUGUUGUGUAGUCAAAGAUGGCCUCUGCUUGCAAGCUAUCGCUGAAGGAUGAGUCCGCGUACCAUUAGCUAGUUGGUAGGGUAAUGGCCUACCAAGGCAACGAUGGUUAGCUGGUCUGAGAGGAUGAUCAGCCACACUGGAACUGAGACACGGUCCAGACUCCUACGGGAGGCAGCAGUGAGGAAUAUUGCGCAAUGGGGGCAACCCUGACGCAGCAACGCCGCGUGAGUGAGGAAGGUUUUCGGACCGUAAAGCUCUGUCGAGCGGGAAGAAAUGCAUAGUGGCUAAUAUCCAUUAUGCUUGACGGUACCGCUAAAGGAAGCACCGGCUAACUCCGUGCCAGCAGCCGCGGUAAUACGGGGGGUGCUAGCGUUGUUCGGAAUCAUUGGGCGUAAAGAGCGUGUAGGCGGCUGGAUAAGUCAGAUGUGAAAGCCCUGGGCUUAACCCAGGAAGUGCAUUUGAAACUGUUCAGCUUGAGUAAGGGAGAGGAAAGUGGAAUUCCUGGUGUAGAGGUGAAAUUCGUAGAUAUCACGAGGAACACCGGUGGCGAAGGCGACUUUCUGGCCCUAUACUGACGCUGAGACGCGAGAGCGUGGGUAGCAAACAGGAUUAGAUACCCUGUAGUCCACGCUGUAAACGAUGUUCACUAGGUGUUGGGGGUAUUGACCCUCUCAGUGCCGCAGCUA
rnacentral:rRNA from 1 species